UGGGGAAUUUUGGACAAUGGGGGAAACCCUGAUCCAGCCAUCCCGCGUGUGCGAUGAAGGCCUUCGGGUUGUAAAGCACUUUUGGCAGGAAAGAAACGUCAUGGGUUAAUACCCCGUGAAACUGACGGUACCUGCAGAAUAAGCACCGGCUAACUACGUGCCAGCAGCCGCGGUAAUACGUAGGGUGCAAGCGUUAAUCGGAAUUACUGGGCGUAAAGCGUGCGCAGGCGGUUCGGAAAGAAAGAUGUGAAAUCCCAGAGCUCAACUUUGAAACUGCAUUUUUAACUACCGGGCUAGAGUGUGUCAGAGGGAGGUGGAAUUCCGCGUGUAGCAGUGAAAUGCGUAGAUAUGCGGAGGAACACCGAUGGCGAAGGCAGCCUCCUGGGAUAACACUGACGCUCAUGCACGAAAGCGUGGGGAGCAAACAGG
rnacentral:rRNA from 1 species